rnacentral:rRNA from 1 species
GUAGUUCCAUUUUUUUUGGUCCCUGUCGGUUCAGCUUUCGUUAGAGGGAACUGUCGGCUGUCUGAUGGCCGACCGGAAGUUUGAGGCAAUAACAGGUCUGUGAUGCCACUUAGAUGUUCUGGUCCGCACGCGCGCUACACUGAUGGAUUCAACGAGUUUAUAACCUGGGCCGUGAGGCUCGGGUAAUCGUUUUGAAAUUUCAUCGUGAUGGGGAUAGAUCAUUGCAAUUAUUGAUCUUGAACGAGGAAUUCCUAGUAAGCGCGAGUCAUCAGCUCGCGCUGAUUACGUCCCUGCCCUUUGUACACACCGCCCGUCGCUCCUACCGAUUGAAUGGUCCGGUGAAGAGUUCGGAUCGCGGCGAUGUCGGCGGUUCGCCGCCGGUGACGUUGUGAGAAGUUCUUUAAACCUUAUCAUCUACCAUGCACCACCACCCAUAGAAUCAAGAAAGAGCUCUCAAUCUGUCAAUCCUACUAUGUCCUGGACCUGUUAAGUUUCCCCGUGUUGAGUCAAAUUAAGUCCGUCAGUCUCCACUCCUGGUGGUUGCCCUUCCGUCAAUUCCUUUAAGUUUCAGCCCUUGCGACCAUACUCCACCCCGGAACCCAAAAACUUUGAUUUCUCUCGGAGGUGCCGGCGGAGUCAUCAAAAAGAAACAUCCGCCGAUCCACUAGUCGGCAUUCGUUUACUGGUUGAGACUAGGACGGUAUCUGAUCGUCUUCGAGCCCCCAACUUUCGUUCUUGAUUAAUGAAAACAUCCUUGGCAAAUGCUCUUCGCAAUGGGCUUUUACAAAGUCUUGGUAAUUGGAAUGAGAACAAUCUUAAAUCCCUGUAACGAGGAUCCAUUGGAGGGCAAGUCUGGUGCCAUGCAGUCCUGCGGUAAUUCCAGCUCCAAUAGCGUAUAUUUAAGUUGUUGCAGUUAAAAAGCUCGUAGUUGGAUCUUGGGGAUGGGCUUGUGCGGUCCGCCUCCUUUCUGUGUGGGGGUGUGCACUGACCGGGUCUUCUCUUGUAUAUGCCGGGGACGCGCGCCUGGCCUUGACUGGUCGGUCCGCGGAUUCGGCGAUGUUACUUUGAAAAAAUUAGAGUGCUCAAAGCAAGCCAUUAUGUCUCUGAAUACAGUAGCAUGGAUACGGGUUUCACCACCGGGAUAAAG